ACAGUUUUGACUUUCACAGGAAGAAAUCCUCAAAGAGAAAGGAUGGUCCCAAGGGAAAGGAAAAGAAGGAAUCUUCAAAGAUGGAUGAUACCAGAAAAGAAAUCAAAAAGAAGGAAAGCCCAAGUUGUACUUCAGCUCUUGCAGUAAAAAACCUUCAACAGAUAGUGAAGAAUGAAAGUGUCUAUUCUGUGCUUCUUGAUGAUAUGGAUGGCUCUUGCAGUGUUGGGAAA
rnacentral:misc_RNA from 1 species